CCCUUAGAUGUUCUGAGCCGCACGCGCGCUACACUGAUGCAUUCAACGAGUCUAAAACCUGCUCUGAUAGGGGUGGGUAAUCUUUUGAAUGUGCAUCGUGAUUGGGAUAGAUGAUUGCAAUUUUUCAUCUUCAACGAGGAAUGCCUAGUAAACGCAAGUCAUCAGCUUGCAUUGAUUACGUCCCUGCCCUUUGUACACACCGCCCGUCGCUCCUACCGAUUGAGUGGUCCGGUGAGACUUUGGGAUCUGAGCGGAAAGAGCGUUUCGCUGUUUCUGCCCGGAAAACUCAGUCGAACCUUAUCAUUUAGAGGAAGGAGAAGUCGUAACA
rnacentral:rRNA from 1 species